rnacentral:rRNA from 1 species
CACGUAGGGCGCAAGCGUUGUCCGGAAUUAUUGGGCGUAAAGAGCUCGUAGGCGGUCUGUUGCGUCCGCUGUGAAAACCCGGGGCUUAACCCCUGGCUUGCAGUGGAUACGGACAGACUAGAGGUAGGUAGGGGAGAAUGGAAUUCCCGGUGUAGCGGUGAAAUGCGCAGAUAUCGGGAGGAACACCGGUGGCGAAGGCGGUUCUCUGGAACGGUACUGACGCUGAGACGCGAAAGCGUGGGGAGCGAACAGG